UAAGGAAUAUUGCUCAAUGGGAGAAAUCCUGAAGCAGCAACGCCGCGUGGAGGAUGAAGGGUCUAUGACUUGUAAACUCCUGUAAAGAAGGAAAAAAUUCCCAUUAGAUGGGAGAUGAUGGUACUUCUGGAGUAAGCCCCGGCUAACUACGUGCCAGCAGCCGCGGUAAUACGUAGGGGGCAAGCGUUGUCCGGAUUUACUGGGUGUAAAGGGUGCUCAGGCGGAUUUGUAAGUCAGAGGUGAAAUCUUACAGCUUAACUGUGAAACUGCCUUUGAGACCGCAAGCCUAGAUUAUGGAAGAGAGUGAUGGAAUAUCUGGUGUAGCAGUGAAAUGCGUAGAUAUCAGAUAGAACACCAAUGGCGAAGGCAGUCACUUGGUCCAUUACUGACGCUAAAGCACGAAAGCGUGGGUAGCAAACA
rnacentral:rRNA from 1 species